CAUCCAAUGAACACAGUGUUCUUUUUGGGAGCUUUUCCUGGUCUGUGAAGGGUGAAGGAUAAAGAUGGCGUGCCUCCACAAACACGCCUUCUCAGGAGUCAGAAGUUCCGAAGAACAUGUUACCAGUGUUUGGUGAGAGUUUGUAUUUUAUUUUAAGAACUUCUAAGUGGAAAGUUAUCAAUGGCAACUUACCAGUGGUUGAUUCACACAUCAUGGGUGCUGAGAAUACAGCACUCGAAGUGAACUGAUAAUAGUAAUCUGAGACUUAUUGAGCACUUACCAAGCUCCAUUUUAAGAAUUUUAUAUAUGUUAACUCACCAGUCUUAUGAGGUGGGUCCUGUUUUUACCUGCACUUUAUAAAUGAAGAAACAGCCACAGAGAGGUUUAACCAUUUGCCCAAGAUCAAACAAUGUUGGUAGUGGGAUUUCGGAUCCAGCAGUGUGGCUUGACUUUGUGCACUUAACCACGACACUUUACUGGAAUAAAUAGGAACAAAUAGGAAUGAACGGAAAACUACCAGUUGAUACUAUGACAAAAACUUACUACAAGACUAGAUUUCUGAACAGUUAUGAUGGGAUGGAUGCCUAUGCAUCACCAAGAAUACCUAGAAAUAAAACUGAUAUCCUGCUUCUGUUGAGCUGAUGUACCAGAAAUGAAUAAACCUGACAAAGGAAAGUGAUGGAACUUUAUAGUUCCUCAGAGCGAACUGUGCAGAGAAAGGGGCAGCUGAGUCAUACUCUCUUGAGUUCAUAAAAUAUGGACAAAAAUAAGUUAUAUAGGUUAAGUGUCGUCUCAUCUCUGUAAUACAAACUCCCUUGGCAGAGGUUAACAGCACGUCACUGAUUGCUUUGGGUGAAUGAAUUCUUUACAUUCUUUCUUCUCAAAGAGGGAACCGGGGUAGCUCACUCUUGCAUCCUAACCCUCCUCGUCUCCAUUGGAGCAUUGGAAGCUUGUGCCAGAGAAGUCAAAGACCCUGAAAACAAGUGUAAAAUAUUCCAAGCUUUUGCCAUGUGAAGGUCCUUAGUAAGAAUUUCUAUCUUAUUUACUUCCAUGUGUCCUGACCCAGCUUCCAUAAGAAAGAGGACUCUUUGAUGGCUGUGCUAUGUGGUCUGAUUUUCCCUGAAACGGAGGAGUUGUACUGAGCUUUCACUUGAUGGAGCAGGUACAAAGUAUGGCAGAGCUGGCCACAUCACAUCACCUCUGCAACACCACCUCCAUCGCCCACAUUCCCCUCCACCACCAGCACAUCCCCACUUCCUUGGCUACACCUUGCUCUCGGUUACAUGGUUCUAGCACAUUGAAACAAAUUGAAGGUAGCAGCAUACUGCCUUCUUCUUUCCAAUGUGAGGAUUCUUAGUCAUUAUUUUGAUGGUUCUGUCCACCCACAAAUGUUGGGGGGAGGGGAAGGGAUAUGCAGGAAAGUUGAGUAGAUGAACUAUAAAUAGAAGAAAGCGAAGGUGAACACCACCAGUUUCCCCAGCACCACAGGCACUAAAAAUGACACUUUUUAUUUGUUCCGUGAGCAGAGAUUCUUAACCUGCGAUCUCUAGACAGGCUUCAGGAGUCUACUCAGGAGUCCAUGAAUUGUAUGUAAUGUUUUAGGUUUUGUGCACUUAUCUGAGAAGAUGAUCCACAGCCUUUAUCAUAUUGUUUUUGCAGUCAUCUAUAAAAAUUGAUCAAGAUAUCAAUAAUUUACAAAAGUGCCAAACAGAGAAAAGUGGUUCCUUCCUGCCUUUUCUUUCCAAGUCUCUCGGCAAAGCCAGCAUCUAGCCAGCAUCUCAUCCUCAGUGAUGAAAUAAAAGUGGAUGAAGUAAAACCAGUGUAACCUCUGCAAUGUCUGUGUGGAGACGGCUGUAAACCAGAAGGGGGAAAAUUCUUCAGCACAGAACAGAAUACAGUUUAUAUGUCCAGGUUCUGACCUGACAAAGAAGAAUACUG
ensembl:lncRNA